rnacentral:rRNA from 1 species
AGGACGAACGCUGGCGGCAUGCCUAAUACAUGCAAGUCGUGCGGAUGCUUCAAGGAGCUUGCUCUUUGAAGUGUUAGCGGCGGAUGGGUGAGUAACACGUGGGCAACCUGCCCUACAGAUGGGGAUAACUCCGGGAAACCGGGGCUAAUACCGAAUAAACAGUUUGUCCGCAUGGACAAACUCUGAAAGACGGUUUCGGCUGUCACUGUAGGAUGGGCCCGCGGCGCAUUAGCUAGUUGGUGGGAUAACGGCCUACCAAGGCAACGAUGCGUAGCCGACCUGAGAGGGUGAUCGGCCACACUGGGACUGAGACACGGCCCAGACUCCUACGGGAGGCAGCAGUAGGGAAUCUUCCACAAUGGACGAAAGUCUGAUGGAGCAAUGCCGCGUGAGUGAAGAAGGUUUUCGGAUCGUAAAGCUCUGUUGUAAGGGAAGAACAAGUAUGGGAGUAACUGCCCGUACUUGACGGUACCUAUUAGAAAGCCACGGCUAACUACGUG